GACGAACGCUGGCGGCGUGCUUAACACAUGCAAGUCGAACGCUGAAGACCUGGCUUUUGUUGGGUUGGAUGAGUGGCGAACGGGUGAGUAACACGUGAGUAACCUGCCCCCUUCUUUGGGAUAACGCCCGGAAACGGGUGCUAAUACUGGAUAUUCACUGAUCUUCGCAUGGGGGUUGGUGGAAAGGUUUGUUCUGGUGGGGGAUGGGCUCGCGGCCUAUCAGCUUGUUGGUGGGGUGAUGGCCUACCAAGGCUUUGACGGGUAGCCGGCCUGAGAGGGUGACCGGUCACAUUGGGACUGAGAUACGGCCCAGACUCCUACGGGAGGCAGCAGUGGGGAAUAUUGCACAAUGGGCGGAAGCCUGAUGCAGCGACGCCGCGUGAGGGAUGGAGGCCUUCGGGUUGUAAACCUCUUUCGCUCAUGGUCAAGCCGCAACUGUGGGUUGUGGUGAGGGUAGUGGGUAAAGAAGCGCCGGCUAACUACGUGCCAGCAGCCGCGGUAAUACGUAGGGCGCGAGCGUUGUCCGGAAUUAUUGGGCGUAAAGGGCUUGUAGGCGGUUGGUCGCGUCUGCCGUGAAAUCCUCUGGCUUAACUGGGGGCGUGCGGUGGGUACGGGCUGACUUGAGUGCGGUAGGGGAGACUGGAACUCCUGGUGUAGCGGUGGAAUGCGCAGAUAUCAGGAAAAACACCGGUGGCGAAGGCGGGUCUCUGGGCCGUUACUGACGCUGAGGGCGAAAGCGUGGGGGAGCGAACAGG
rnacentral:rRNA from 1 species